UACGUAGGGUGCGAGCGUUAAUCGGAAUUACUGGGCGUAAAGGGCGCGUAGGCGGCUUAACAAGUCACUUGUGAAAUCUCCGGGCUUAACUCGGAACGGCCAAGUGAAACUGUCAAGCUAGAGUGCAGAAGGGGCAAUCGGAAUUCUUGGUGUAGCGGUGAAAUGCGUAGAUAUCAAGAGGAACACCUGAGGUGAAGACGGGUUGCUGGGCUGACACUGACGCUGAGGCGCGAAAGCCAGGGGAGCAAACGGG
rnacentral:rRNA from 1 species